CGGACGUGUGCGUGCAAUGCGUCUGUGCAC
rnacentral:piRNA from 1 species